CUUCGUAAGGGAGUUGUGUUGACCAAAAACAACCUCACACGACGCAACUGUCCAGGGAGUAAGAAGUGUUGUUUUUGUACUCAUGACGAGACAAUCAAACACCUCUUUUUCCAAUGCAAGUUUGCACGUUCUACGUGGUCAAUCAUCCAAAUAGCGUCAAAUUUAUAUCCGCCCACAAGUGUUGCCAAUAUAUUUGGUCACUGGUUGGACGGUAUUCCAAAUAUGUUUAAAGCGCUUAUAAGGGUGGGGGCGUACGCCUUAAUUUGGUCGCUCUGGCUAUGUAGAAACGAUUUGGUUUUUAAUGGAAAAAUGCUUCUCCUCUGCAGGUUAUUUUCCGUUGUACGCAAUCGCUUCAUACAUGGUCUAUGCUACAACGAUCGGAGCACCAAUCGCUGUUCAAGGCGGUAUGUACGCGGUUGA
rnacentral:rRNA from 1 species